CAGGACUUGGAGGAGGAACACAUUGAGGACCUUGCUUUGUUAGAUCCAUCAUCGUCCACUAACUCCAUGAAAGAUCCUGUUGAAAGUUCAAACUGAAAAAAGCUUUGUACCAUGGGUGCUGAGAAGCAAGAGACCAAUGGUGGUACAAGACAGUGUUGCUGCUGCUGCCUCUGUGUUGGUGGAAACACGUGGCCAGCUCGGUCAGCGGCGUCGGCGGGAUGAGGACGUCUAGAAUGUGAAGUACUGCUGCUAGCCGCUGGAUCUGGCAUGGACAAGAAAGAAGAAAACAUUGUUGGUAGCUGUGUGAGUUGAAUGUAUCUCUGCACUAGAGCUUCCUAGCAGUUUAGUUAACGCAGCCGCAAGAGCAGCAGGCAGCGGUGUCCUCAGCGACACGCCGUUAGUUGAAGUGCUAUCCACAACUAUGACAAUGGUCUUCUCGUAGAUUGCUCCAACGGCAUCUUUCCCUCAAUCCCCUUUCUCCACUCAACUAGCUUACACCGAUGCAGCCUCUCGAUGCUGCUCCCCGCUGCUCGUCCCACCUUGCCGCUCAGCGGCAGGCCACCCCACCACACCCACCCUACUCCCUCGCCGCCAGACACCCCCACCCACCCAAUCCCCUCUGGCCCUAGGUUCCCGCGCGUCCGCCAUGCCCAAGACGUCGGCGUCAAGAACCUCCACCUAGUGCUGGUCCUCGCCAUCCGGAGCGCCUGAGAUGGGCGCCCCUGUCACGCCCGCUAUGGUGCCUUCUGUUGACCUUGGCUGACGGCGCCCCUUCACCCCUCCAUGCCCCAAUGCACCAAUUGCAGGCAAUGACACAAGGAGCAGCCGAGACCGACGCUGGUGGUGAAGGACCUCCUCCACGGCGUCUGCAUCUUGCCUCUCUUGAGAUCGCUGCAGAGAUGCAAGGUGGAGGAGAUGGUCCUCGCCUUCAUUGAGCUGCAGCCGGCAUCGGCGACAUUCUGGAAAACCUCCCCGAGGUGCGGCCGCCAGCGAAGUCCCCGACCUGAUGCUGCUGGAGACCACUCCGUCACACCGCCGUCGGCCACAUCCCAAACUUCCAGCUGCCAGUUUGACAACUAAACAGAUCAGCCAUAGGCAAGGAGAAGACGCACAUUAACAUCAUGGUCAUUUGCCAUGUUGACUCUAGCAAGUCGACCACCAUAGGCCAUCUGGUUUGAGAAGGAAGCCACGAGACCCACCCUCUUUACACGUUCACUCUUGGAGUGCAGCAGCAGCUGCAAAGUUUCUUACCACAUAACCUUGUAUAAGAAGAGGAUCAAGAAUGGAUGCAUACAAUAGAGGAAAAGAAAGUGACCCUGAAUUCUACCGCGAGGGUUCAAGUUUUCAAUAUGGUAAGGUAGAGGAACAGGAGGAGUAUGUCCGUGAUGUGGCCUGGAGGGUGGCUUGGCUACCGGAUCAGGCCGGACAUGAUUUUUUAAAAGCUGUGCUUGGUCUUUGAUGAUCUGAGAUGCUUCUCUGGUGUGAGUGUGCCUGACAAGAUUACUAUUGUCAGAGUCAUAUAUCCACUUUGUGCAAAGCUGAUUCAUUGCUGGUGCUAUCCAUUGCUGCUAGAUACGGCUUUAUUGGAUCCAUCAUCAUCCACUAACUCCAUGAAAGAUCCUUUUGAAAGUUCAAACUGAACAAAGCUUUGCACUAUGGGUGCUUAGAAGCAAAAGACCAAUGGCGGUGCAAGACAGUGUUGUUGUUGGCGCCGUGUUGGUCGAAACACGCGGCCAGUUCGGCCAUCAACAGCGGCGCGGCAGGAUGAGGACAUUGAGAAUCUGAAAUGCAGCUGCAAGCCGCUCGAGCUGGCAUGGACAAGAAAGAAGACAUCAUUGUUCCACUUCCUAGCAGUUUUGUUAACGCAGCCGAAAGAGCAACAUGAAUCAAUGUCCUCAACGACAAGCCGGUGGUUGAAGUGGUAUCCACCACUAUAGCGACAGCCUUUCGUAGAUUGGUCUCAUCACAUCUCUCCUUCAAUCCCCUUUGUCCACUCAAUUUGCUGACACCGCUGCAACCGCUCAGUGCUUCUCCCCACUCAGCGGCCGGCCACCCCCCCCCACCCACCUGACUCCCUCACCGUUACACACCACCACCCACCCAAUCACCUCCGCCCCUGCUUCCUGCGCGUCUGCCAUGCCCAAGACGUCGGUGUCAAGAACUUCCAUCUGGUGCUUGUCCUUGUCAUCCGGAGCGCCUGGAGCUGGGCGCACGUCUGCCAUGGUUCAUCCUGUUGACUUGGCUGCUGUCUCCCCCGUCACGUCCACCAUGGUGCCUCCUGUUGACUUGGGCUGCUGGGGCGCCCCUUCGCCCCUCCCUGCCCCGAUGCACCAAUCACGGGCAACAACACAAGCAUCAACUGAGAUUGGCACUGGAGGUGGAGGACUCCACGGCGUCCGCAUCCUGCCUAUGUGGAGCUCGCUGCAGAGAUGCAAGGGGGAGGAGAUGGUCCUCGCCUUCACGGAGUCGCAGCUGCUGUCAGCGACAUUCUGGAAAACCUCCCCGAGCUGUGGCCGCCAGCAACGUACCAGACAUGAUGCUUCCGGAGACCACUCCAUCCCGUCGCUGUCAGCCACGUCCCAAACUUGCAGCUGCCAGAACCAUGUUGAAAGUUCAGACUGAACUAACGGCUGUUGAGAAGCAAGAGACCAAUGGCGGUACAAGAUGGUGAUGCUACCGUGUUGGUCGGCACACACGGCCAGCUCAGCCAUAAACAGCGGCGUCAGCGGGAAGUGCAGCUGCAAGCUGUUGUAGCUGGCAUGGACAAGAAAGAAGACAAGAUUGUUGGUAGCUGUGUGAGUUUAGUGUAUCGCUGCACUACAGCUUCCUAUCAGUUUAGUUAACGCAGCCGAAAGAGUAGCAGGCAGCGGUGUCCUCAGCAACACACUGGUAGUUGAAAUGGUAUCCACCAGUAUGACGACGGCCAUCUCGUAGAUCGCUCCCACCACAUAUCUCCCUCAAACCCCUUUCUCCACUCAAUUUGCUAACAUUGCCGCAGCCGCUUGGUGCUGCUCACCUCACCUCGCCACUCAGCGGCCGACCACCCCACCACACCCACCCAACUCCCUCGCCGUCAGACACCCCCACCGACCCAAUCCCCUCCACCCGCCAUGCCCAAGACGUUGGCGUCAAGAACGUCUGCCUUGUGCUAGUCCUCGCCAUCCGGAGCACAUGGAGCUGGGCGCUCCCAUCACGCCCGCCAUGGUGCCUCCUGUUGACCUGGGCUGCCGACGCCCCUCUGCCUCCCUCCAUGCCCCGACAUACCAGUCGCGGACAACGCCACAAGAGGCAGCUCAGACCGGAGGUAGAGGUGGAGGACCUGCCGUCCAUGUCCUGCCUCUGUGGAGCUCGCUGCAGAUAUGCAACAGGGGGGGGGGGGGGAUGUUCCUCGCCUUCAUGGAGUUGCAGCCGCCAUCGACAACGUUCUGGAAAACCUCCAUGAGCUGCGGUUGCCAGUGAUGUCCCUGACCUGCUGCUGCCUGAGACCACUCUGUCCCGCUGCCGUCGGCCACAUCCCAAACUUGCAUCUGACAGGUGAUCUCCCUCUCCUCCUCACCCUCCAUGCAUUCAUUGUAAUUUUUUAUUCUAUUUAUUUAUCACGUUGAUGCAGGGCAUUUUGGUACGACGCAGUACAAGGUACAACGGUUGUGCAGGGCAUUUCUUCUCUGUUGGCCAGUGAAUGUGUCCAACUAUCAGUGGAUUUAUGAUACAUGCCUGCCUUUUGUUGUAUUAUUGUAUAGAAAAUGGAAACAGGUUGCCAGUGAAAGUGUCCAACUGUCAAUUGAUUUAUGAUAUGUGCUUGCUUUUUGUUGUGUAGAAAAUGAAAAUGGGUUGCUACUGAACGAAUGAACCUGAUUGAACAAAA